GUGAACGGACGUACAUUUUGUCGUAUGGAAAAAUACACUCUGUUUAUAUGUUAUUGCUCGGAUUUCCAAGCUAGAUAAAGGAUUAAUGUGAUUCUGACUUGUAACAGCAGUAAGUCUUUUUCAUUAUAUUGCAAAAUUUCGUCGUAAAGUAACUUUUGUAGACAUGUUAAGAUCAUCGUGUAAGAAGAGGUCCUAAAGGGG
rnacentral:lncRNA from 1 species